CCUACGGGAGGCAGCAGUGGGGAAUAUUGCACAAUGGGGGAAACCCUGAUGCAGCGACGCCGCGUGAGUGAAGAAGUAUUUCGUUAUGUAAAGCUCUAUCAGCAGGGAAGAAAAUGACGGUACCUGAGUAAGAAGCCCCGGCUAACUACGUGCCAGCAGCCGCGGUAAUACGUAGGGGGCAAGCGUUAUCCGGGUUUUCUGGGUGUAAAGGGAGCGUAGACGGCCGUGCAUGUCUGGAGUGAAAGGCGGGGGCUCAACCCCCGGACUGCUCUUGAAACUGUACGGCUGGAGUGCAGGAGAGGUAAGUGGAAUUCCUGGUGUAGCGGUGAAAUGCGUAGAUAUUAGGAGGGACACCAGUGGCGAAGGCGGCUUGCUGGACUGUAACUGACGUUGAGGCUCGAAAGCGUGGGGAGCAAACAGGAUUAGAUACCCCAGUAGUC
rnacentral:rRNA from 1 species